UACAGAGGUCCCAAGCGUUGUUCGGAUUCAUUGGGCGUAAAGGAUGCGUAGGUGGCGCUGUAAGUCGGGUGUGAAAUUUCGGAGCUUAACUCCGAAACUGCAUUCGAUACUGCGGUGCUCGAGGACUGGAGAGGAGACUGGAAUUCAUGGUGUAGCAGUGAAAUGCGUAGAGAUCAUGAGGAAGACCAGUGGCGAAGGCGGGUCUCUGGACAGUUCCUGACACUGAGGCACGAAGGCCAGGGGAGCAAACGGG
rnacentral:rRNA from 1 species